CUACGGGUUGCUGCAGUGGGGAAUAUUGCACAAUGGGGGAAACCCUGAUGCAGCAACGCCGCGUGAGUGAUGAAGGCCUUCGGGUUGUAAAGCUCUGUUUCCAGGGACGAUAAUGACGGUACCUGGGGAGGAAGCCACGGCUAACUACGUGCCAGCAGCCGCGGUAAUACGUAGGUGGCAAGCGUUGUCCGGAUUUACUGGGCGUAAAGGGAGCGUAGGCGGAUUUUUAAGUGGGAUGUGAAAUCCCCGGGCUCAACCCGGGGGCUGCAUUCCAAACUGGAAAUCUAGAGUGUCGGAGAGGAAAGCAGAAUUCCUAGUGUAGCGGUGAAAUGCGUAGAGAUUAGGAAGAAUACCAGUGGCGAAGGCGGCUUUCUGGACGAUAACUGACGCUGAGGCUCGAAAGCGUGGGGAGCAAACAGGAUUAGAUACCCCUGUAGUC
rnacentral:rRNA from 1 species